rnacentral:rRNA from 1 species
ACUCCUACGGGAGGCAGCAGUGGGGAAUCUUAGACAAUGGGCGAAAGCCUGAUCUAGCCAUGCCGCGUGAGUGAUGAAGGCCUUAGGGUCGUAAAACUCUUUCGCUGGGGAAGAUAAUGACGGUACCCAGUAAAGAAGCCCCGGCUAACUCCGUGCCAGCAGCCGCGGUAAUACGGAGGGGGCUAGCGUUGUUCGGAAUUACUGGGCGUAAAGCGCACGUAGGCGGAUUAGUAAGUCAGGGGUGAAAUCCCGGGGCUCAACCCCGGAACUGCCUUUGAUACUGCUAGUCUUGAGUUCGAGAGAGGUGAGUGGAAUUCCAGUGUAGAGGUGAAAUUCGUAGAUAUUCGGAGGAACACCAGUGGCGAAGGCGGCUCACUGGNUCGAUACUGACGCUGAGGUGCGAAAGUGUGGGGAGCAAACAGGAUUAGAUACCCUGGUAGCUACGAGU